AUCACGCAUUAUUAAUUAGUCAUUGAUAUCGUCCAUUAAAAAGAAAGAGAGGGAGAGAGGUUUUCUUUUUUAUAAUCGUUUAUCAGUAUCGUUGUUGCCGUUGAUGUUCAUAACAUCGCGCCAGUAUUUUUAAUCAUUUCGAAGCGGCCGUUUUUCGACUAUCAGCUUUUGUCAGCAUGGAACGUUAAUUAUUUCAUCAUGUGAUUAAUAAGCUUAUGACGGAAGGUACAUGCGAUAAAUUCCAUGCGAUAGAUUAUCCUCCCUGGCAUGUACAAAAAGAAUGCUUUGACAUGGCUUCGAUUGUCUGUGUGAUAAUCGGAAGGCUCGGCUAUUACUAUCGGCACACAGCGGCAAUAAUAUUUUUGAUGAACAUAUACACUUUCCAAUAAAAAAUAAGAGAUGUCGUCGCUGUUUAAUUUUCAUGCCAUCAAAACAAAUUAAUUGUAAAAAUUUAAAAACAAGUAAAGUAAA